CAGUAGCCGCGGUAAUACAGAGGGUGCGAGCGUUAAUCGGAUUUACUGGGCGUAAAGCGUGCGUAGGCGGCUUCUUAAGUCGGAUGUGAAAUCCCUGAGCUUAACUUAGGAAUUGCAUUCGAUACUGGGAAGCUAGAGUAUGGGAGAGGAUGGUAGAAUUCCAGGUGUAGCGGUGAAAUGCGUAGAGAUCUGGAGGAAUACCGAUGGCGAAGGCAGCCAUCUGGCCUAAUACUGACGCUGAGGUACGAAAGCAUGGGGAGCAAACAGGAUUAGAUACCCGCGUAGUCCUGUCUCUUAUACA
rnacentral:rRNA from 1 species